UGAGGAAUAUUGCGCAAUGGGCGAAAGCCUGACGCAGCGACGCCGCGUGGAGGAUGAAGGUUUUCGGAUUGUAAACUCCUGUUAAGUGGGAAGAAACGACAAAAUAUAAUACAUUUUGUAACUGACGGUACCAUUAAAGAAAGCACCGGCUAACUUCGUGCCAGCAGCCGCGGUAAUACGAGGGGUGCAAGCGUUAUUCGGAAUUAUUGGGCGUAAAGGGUGCGUAGGCGGCGUAUUAAGUCAACUGUUAAAACCUCCAGCCUAACUGGAGAUCAGCAGUAGAUACUGGUAUGCUAGAGGAUGGAAGAGAGAAGUGGAAUUCUUGGAGUAGCGGUGGAAUGCGUAGAUCUCAAGAGGAACACCAAUGGCGAAGGCAGCUUCUUGGUCCAUAUCUGACGCUGAUGCACGAAAGCGCGGGGAGCAAACAGGAUUAGAUACCCUGGUAGUCCACGCCGUAAACGAUGAUCACUAGAUGUUAAUUCUGCUUGCAGAAUUAGUGUCGUAGCUAACGCGAUAAGUGAUCCGCCUGGGGACUACGGUCGCAAGAUUAAACUCAAAGGAAUUGACGGGGUCAUAGCUGUUUCC
rnacentral:rRNA from 1 species